UCUUUUUCGAAUUAAUCAAAAUGAAAUUGAAUAAUAUUUUUGGUGAAAAGCAUACGAUUUUGCCGCGUUUUAGAGGAAUGAUGCGUCGAACGUGGCAGAAUUGGUACUUGGAAAAAUUUAAGGAUCACAAAAACGAGUUUAACGAUAACAACAUUUUCAUGGAGGUUAAAACUCACGUUUUUAAAUCAGCCGGUUAUAAAAAGUAUCCAGAAGCGCAUACGACGGAUUUAUACAAAAUUGCCGCUUACGGAAGCCCGGCGAAAUAUAAUCUAGAAAAAAUUGUACCGAGCUUAACAAAAUUAAACAUAACCGAUUCCGCGUAUCAAAUAAAAGGGGAAGUCGAUUUGGUUCAUACGCUUAAAGAGAAUUCGCCGGAAUCCCGUGAAACCUUCAUUUUUAGGGAUGGCGUUGUGGUGUUUUGGAACUUUACUAAAGAAGAUACCAAAGAUGUUAUGGAUAUUCUAUCAGAACAUCAAAUUUUUGGUUACGUCGUUGAUCAUCAUAUGCAAUCAUUCGAUGUCAAUUAUUACACACUUAGUAAGAGUAGAUAUUGUUCAAUAGGACCUGACGGUGUAUUUACGCUCCCAGAAAAUAAUAAUUUCCAUGAAAAGUACGUCACCUCUUGCAUGUUAGCCACAUCAGUGAGCUUAACAAUAUGGCAAACAGUCUUGGAACUUUACCUGCAUAAUAUUUUAGAAAACGUUGCUCACGAUAUGAAUAUUGGGUACACCGUAAAAGCUACAAGGAGAGAAGUAGAACAGUUACAUGGAAAUUUAUCGUCUUUGACGUUCUUCAUGGAGAUUAACGACCACGUUUAUCAGCGUAUAGCGAAAGGAGAACAAGCAAAAAUGGACCAUUUUCAUAAAGAACUCUGGAUACAAAAUAGCAUUCAUAGAAGAAUAAAAGACCUACAAAAACGUCUAUUUCACUGCAACGAAAUCAGUAAUUUAAUAUUAGUUUUAACAUCACAUAGAAAACAUAGACGCUCCUUCAGAAUAUAUUACAUGGGUAGUAUUGCUACAAUAUUAUUUGCGAUGUUAAGUACUUUGUAUAAAAUUCGUGCGUUGAGAGAACAGAGGAAGCAGAAAGCAUAAGGAUAAUUUAACAUCAAUUUGGUAAUUUCAAAUUUAGUCCGUCUUUAAUAUCAUGUGAUAAUUUGUAGUGCUGGAUUGAAAGAGACUUUAAUUUUAAUUAAAUCCGCAAAGGAAUUCAGCAGCGGCGUCCUCUCCUCUGUAAUUUUUCUUUUCAUUUAGACAAUGAGUGGAAUUUCAAUCAAUAAAAAUAUUUGUGCCGUUUUAAAUGUUCCUUUUUAAUGAUCAUAUUGAACACAUAUUUGAACAUUUUAUUUAUUUCGUAUUUUUAGUAAUAAGCCAUCAAAUCAUUGAUACCUAUUUAUUCACUCAACCAAAAUGAAAGAAGAGAAACGAGGCUGUUAUGAACUUCAAGAGUGAACGAGGCGAAGUAUUUAGAACUGGUAAACAAUGUACUUAAUAACUUC